rnacentral:rRNA from 1 species
GAUGAACGCUAGCUACAGGCUUAACACAUGCAAGUCGAGGGGAAACGAUAUUGGAAGCUUGCUUCCGAUAGGCGUCGACCGGCGCACGGGUGAGUAACGCGUAUCCAACCUGCCCAUCACUUGGGGAUAACCUUGCGAAAGUAAGACUAAUACCCAAUGACGUCUCUAGAAGACAUCUGAAGGAGAUUAAAGAUUUAUCGGUGAUGGAUGGGGAUGCGUCUGAUUAGCUUGUUGGCGGGGUAACGGCCCACCAAGGCGACGAUCAGUAGGGGUUCUGAGAGGAAGGUCCCCCACAUUGGAACUGAGACAUGGUCCAAACUCCUACGGGAGGCAGCAGUGAGGAAUAUUGGUCAAUGGACGAGAGUCUGAACCAGCCAAGUAGCGUGAAGGAUGAAAGGUCCUACGGAUUGGUAAAACUUCUUUUAUAAGGGAAUAAACCCUCCACGUGUGGGAGCUUGUAUGUACCUUAUGAAUAAGCAUCGGCUAACUCCGUGCCAGCAGCCG